GUUAACCGAAAGGUUGGUGGUUCGAGCCCACCCAGGGACGACAGACAGUUAGGCCUCACCUAGGCUUUUAACAGCCUGCUUUGCUUAUUAAGCCGUUAAUCCUUUCAUCACUCCCGUAAACCCAGCAAGUUCACACGCCCAACACAGCCGUCAAAACCCCCAAAACACGCGGCAAACUCAAAACAAGCAAGGGCUUUCUUUAACCUUGCCUGUCGGUCGGUCACAGGUGGAUUAUUUGUCACAUGCCUCGGCCAGGAAGAACUUUUCACUUUUCACUUUUUGUUGUUUGUUUUCUUUGCAAAGAGAAGAACUUGGCGACAACACCCAUCUGCGGACAACCCCCGCCUGAUAUCCCUGGUGUAUUUGGGAGUGGGUAGACUGGGAAUACUUUCUUAAUUUAAAACAACAACAACAACAACAACAAAAAUCAUCGUACAAGUCUCCAGAUUUUAGUAACACAGGAACGCCCGUGGACCGCUGGCUUGACCCCAUAGCAGCUCGCCCCCUCCCGAGGUGCCCCGGCCCCCGCGGAGACGACGGCGAUGGAGGUCUAUCGCGGCCUUGGGGAAAAUAGCUAAGGGGCUCCUCCUGCGCCUGCAAGAAUGGCCACGACCCACGCACGGACCUCAACCUCACCGUGGGUGCUCCAGCUGACGCCCAGGCGCGUGCGCUCGGCGGGGCUCCCGACGCGGCGGGCACCAGUCACGUCUGCGGGACGACAGGCCGGGCUGAAGCCUCUGAGGCGAGCAGAGACCGCUCCGCGGUCCGCACCGGGCGCCGGCC
rnacentral:lncRNA from 1 species